rnacentral:rRNA from 1 species
GAUGAACGCUGGCGGCGUGCCUAAUACAUGCCAGUCGAGCGAACAGACGAGGAGCUUGCUCCUCUGACGUUAGCGGCGGACGGGUGAGUAACACGUGGAUAACCUACCUAUAAGACUGGGAUAACUUCGGGAAACCGGAGAUAAUACCGGAUAAUAUAUUGAACCGCAUGGUUCAAUAGUGAAAGACGGUUUUGCUGUUACUUAUAGAUGGAUCCGCGCCGCAUUAGCUAGUUGGUAAGGUAACGGCUUACCAAGGCAACGAUGCGUAGCCGACCUGAGAGGGUGAUCGGCCACACGGGAACUGAGACACGGUCCAGACUCCUACGGGAGGCAGCAGUAGGGAAUCUUCCGCAAUGGGCGAAAGCCUGACGGAGCAACGCCGCGUGAGUGAUGAAGGUCUUCGGAUCGUAAAACUCUGUUAUUAGGGAAGAACAAAUGUGUAAGUAACUAUGCACGUCUUGACGGUACCUAAUCAGAAAGCCACGGCUAACUACGUG